rnacentral:rRNA from 1 species
CGGAUUUGAGGGGCUUGCUCCUCAAGUUAGUGGCGAACGGGUGAGUAAUGCGUCGGAACGUACCGAGUAAUGGGGGAUAACGCAGCGAAAGUUGUGCUAAUACCGCAUACGCCCUAAGGGGGAAAGCAGGGGAUCGCAAGACCUUGCGUUAUUCGAGCGGCCGACGUCUGAUUAGCUAGUUGGUGGGGUAAAGGCUCACCAAGGCGACGAUCAGUAGCGGGUCUGAGAGGAUGAUCCGCCACACUGGAACUGAGACACGGUCCAGACUCCUACGGGAGGCAGCAGUGGGGAAUUUUGGACAAUGGGCGAAAGCCUGAUCCAGCCAUUCCGCGUGAGUGAAGAAGGC